rnacentral:rRNA from 1 species
UACGUAGGCGGCAAGCGUUAUCCGGAAUUAUUGGGCGUAAAGCGCGCGUAGGCGGUUUUUUAAGUCUGAUGUGAAAGCCCACGGCUCAACCGUGGAGGGUCAUUGGAAACUGGGAAACUUGAGUGCAGAAGAGGAAAGUGGAAUUCCAUGUGUAGCGGUGAAAUGCGCAGAGAUAUGGAGGAACACCAGUGGCGAAGGCGACUUUCUGGUCUGUAACUGACGCUGAUGUGCGAAAGCGUGGGGAUCAAACAGG